rnacentral:rRNA from 2 species
CCUAAGGUAGCGAAAUUCCUUGUCGGGUAAGUUCCGACCUGCACGAAUGGCGUAAUGAUGGCCAGGCUGUCUCCACCCGAGACUCAGUGAAAUUGAACUCGCUGUGAAGAUGCAGUGUACCCGCGGCAAGACGGAAAGACCCCGUGAACCUUUACUAUAGCUUGACACUGAACAUUGAGCCUUGAUGUGUAGGAUAGGUGGGAGGCUUUGAAGUGUGGACGCCAGUCUGCAUGGAGCCGACCUUGAAAUACCACCCUUUAAUGUUUGAUGUUCUAACGUUGGCCCCUAAUCGGGGUUGCGGACAGUGUCUGGUGGGUAGUUUGACUGGGGCGGUCUCCUCCUAAAGAGUAACGGAGGAGCACGAAGGUUGGCUAAUCCUGGUCGGACAUCAGGAGGUUAGUGCAAUGGCAUAAGCCAGCUUGACUGCGAGCGUGACGGCGCGAGCAGGUGCGAAAGCAGGUCAUAGUGAUCCGGUGGUUCUGAAUGGAAGGGCCAUCGCUCAACGGAUAAAAGGUACUCCGGGGAUAACAGGCUGAUACCGCCCAAGAGUUCAUAUCGACGGCGGUGUUUGGCACCUCGAUGUCGGCUCAUCACAUCCUGGGGCUGAAGUAGGUCCCAAGGGUAUGGCUGUUCGCCAUUUAAAGUGGUACGCGAGCUGGGUUUAGAACGUCGUGAGACAGUUCGGUCCCUAUCUGCCGUGGGCGCUGGAGAACUGAGGGGGGCUGCUCCUAGUACGAGAGGACCGGAGUGGACGCAUCACUGGUGUUCGGGUUGUCAUGCCAAUGGCACUGCCCGGUAGCUAAAUGCGGAAGAGAUAAGUGCUGAAAGCAUCUAAGCACGAAACUUGCCCCGAGAUGAGUUCUCCCUGAGACUUAGAGUCUCCUGAAGGAACGUUGAAGACGACGACGUUGAUAGGCCGGGUGUGUAAGCGCAGCGAUGCGUUGAGCUAACCGGUACUAAUGAACCGUGAGGCUUAACCUU